UUUGCUGUCUUGGGACGGAUCACCACUGCAAGAGGGGAAGUUGCUACUGUGAUGAAUUCUGCCAUGUGGCACCAGACUGCCACCCAGACCACAGUGUCCUCUGCAACCCUGGUCAAAGGUGCCUACAUGCUCCUUCUAGCUUUGUUUCCCUGAUGUUCCUUGCCACCUGCUACUCCUCUCUGAGCUACUUUUCCAGCUUCUCAGAUGACCAAGAUGGUGCUGCAGAUGGUGCUGAGGAUGGAGAACCCACCAAGCCCCGCUAGGAGCCACCUAGACUGGAUGCAGAGCAUGGAGUUUUAUUUGCUUCCAAGAAGGAAGGCAAGAUUUCCUGGGUCCGUGAUGAUGGAAGGCUGACAACUCUUUUAUGGAGUUUGAGCUUGCUCCCAGCAGGGAAGACAAGUUCGAGUUUUUUUCCUGCUUCAAGGAUGGUAGAGAGCAGUCUUCAGCCUGAGACCCAUCCCUAGAUUUGAAGAUUGUACCAGGAGAGCCGCAGUGUUCCAGAGCUACUGAGGGGGCUGGGCUGGGAUUUGCUGUAUUCGAGAAGACCCCCUUGGACCCGAGAGGCUGUGGGCUUGGGGAGCAUGAGGAGGUUUCACAGCAGAAAGGACACCCC
ensembl:lncRNA MUC20-OT1 MUC20 overlapping transcript